GCUGGGCGUGGUGGCUCACGCCUGUAAUCCCAGCACUUUGGGAGGCUGAGACGGGUGGAUCACCUGAGAUUAGGAGUUUGAGACCAGCCUGACCAAUAUGGCGAAACCCUGUCUCUACCGAAAAUACAAAAAUUAGGUCAGGCACGGUGGCUCACACCUGUAAUCCCAGCACUUUGUGAGGCUGAGGCAGGUGGAUCAUGAGGUCAGGAGUUCAAUACCAACCUGGUCAAGAUGGUGAAACCCUGUCUCU
rnacentral:sRNA from 1 species